rnacentral:misc_RNA from 1 species
GAUGAAGAACGUAGCGAAAUGCGAUAAGUAAUGUGAAUUGCAGAAUUCAGUGAAUCAUCGAAUCUUUGAACGCACAUUGCACCCGCCAGUAUUCUGGCGGGCAUGCCUGUCCGAGCGUCAUUUCAACCCUCGAACCCCUCCGGGGGUCCGGCGUUGGGGAUCGGGAACCCCUAAGACGGGAUCCCGGCCCCGAAAUACAGUGGCGGUCUCGCCGCAGCCUCUCAUGCGCAGUAGUUUGCACAACUCGCACCGGGAGCGCGGCGCGUCCACGUCCGUAAAACACCCAACUUCUGAAAUGUUGACCUCGGAUCAGGUAGGAAUACCCGCUGAACUUAAGCAUAUCAAUAAGCGGAGGA